rnacentral:rRNA from 1 species
AUGGCAAAGUCAAAAAAGAGCAAGGAAAAUAAUAUAGUAGGGAGUGCUGUUACUCAUCGGGUGAAACGGAAAAGGUUCUACCGUCGAGAUUCUGCUGGUACUUAUAGUGCAGUAGAUGGUCCAAGUCCACCGGCUAAAUCUACAAACACAGUAUCACCUGCUCCACCAGCUGCAGCAUCCGCUUCAAUUGUACCAGCAUCUCAACCAGUUACUCAUUCGUUUGCUCCGAAACUGGCCAGUUCCCAAGCUGCCUUCACACCUAACACUACUUCCGAAGCACUGCUGACACAACAGAACUUGGCAAGAUCAGAUGAACCUCAUGAGCAUCAACACCAAGACGCACCACGGCGCAAGCGGAAACAGACAUUAGGGAUAAUGCUUGACAGAUUAACAAAAUCUAAAGGAGGAAGAUUGGAGAUCCAUUUUGAGGCAGGUUUAAAAAGGCCACGUGAUGCUACAUAG